UACGAGGGGGGCAAGCGUUGUUCGGAAUUAUUGGGCGUAAAGGGCGCGUAGGCGGUGCGGUAAGUCACCUGUGAAAUCUCUGGGCUCAACUCAGAGUCUGCAGGCGAAACUGCCGUGCUGGAGUAUGGGAGAGGUGCGUGGAAUUCCCGGUGUAGCGGUGAAAUGCGUAGAUAUCGGGAGGAAUACCUGUGGCGAAAGCGGCGCACUGGACCAUAACUGACGCUGAGGCGCGAAAGCUAGGGGAGCAAACAGG
rnacentral:rRNA from 1 species